GCAAACUUGGUCAUUUAGAGGAAGUAAAAGUCGUAACAAGGUUUCCGUAGGUGAACCUGCGGAAGGAUCAUUACCGAGUGCGGGUCCUUUGGGCCCAACCUCCCACCCGUGUCUAUUGUACCUGUUGCUUCGGCGGGCCCGCCGCUUGUCGGCCGCCGGGGGGGCAUCUCUGCCCCUCGGGCCCGUGCCCGCCGGAGACACCAACACGAACACUGUCUGAAAUCGUGAAGUCUGAGUCGAUUGUUUUCAAUCAGUUAAAACUUUCAACAAUGGAUCUCUUGGUUCCGGCAUCGAUGAAGAACGCAGC
rnacentral:misc_RNA from 1 species